CCUACGGGGGGCAGCAGUGGGGAAUAUUGCACAAUGGGGGAAACCCUGAUGCAGCAACGCCGCGUGAAGGAAGACGGUUUUCGGAUUGUAAACUUCUUUUCUUAGUGAAGAAGCAAGUGACGGUAGCUAAGGAAUAAGCAUCGGCUAACUACGUGCCAGCAGCCGCGGUAAUACGUAGGAUGCGAGCGUUAUCCGGAAUUACUGGGUGUAAAGGGAGCGCAGGCGGGACUGCAAGUUGGAUGUGAAAUACCGCAGCUUAACUGCGGAGCUGCAUCCAAAACUGUAGUUCUUGAGUGGAGUAGAGG
rnacentral:rRNA from 1 species